GAACUUUGUGAUCAUGCCCAUCUUGAGUGGAGGAAGUCAGUGGGGAGAAAGUUUGAACAUUGAAAGCUUGUGUCCCCAGGCUCAGCGGGAACCCAGUGGGGCCUCUGGGUUACUGGGAACUCCAAGCCCUGAAAGUAGAAACGCUGCCAGGCCACGCCCCUCUGCAGGCACCCAGGCCUCAGCUCCCUCUAGCUCCUCCAAGGGCUGUGUUGGAUGUUUGUUCUACAAAGGUAGCCCCAGCUGGCAGAAGAGCUGACUUGGGACCUGACCCAAGCCGCGUCUUGUUUCCCUGGCUUCAGCCUGAAUGUAGCAGUAGGAAGCUUUCUUUGGGUCUCUGCUACUAACAGCCGCAGUUAUGGGAUAGGGCAAAUCCUGAGACUUGCCUGAUACAUGGGUAACUCCGUGGAAGCCUCAGGUAUCGGUUAAGCCAAGUCAGGUGGCGAGGCUCAUCCAGCAAGAGCCUGUGGUUAGGCUGCCACCUAGUGUUGAGCUGGGUGUACAGCAGAAAGGCCUCUACAGGGCACCCAACCUGAGGGGCUGACAGGCAAGAAAGAGGGAAAACCAGAAAAUCUGAAAGAAGCCAGGCUCCUGAAAGGCCCCAACCACCCCAGACCAGACGGAAAAUGCAUUUCGGGCGAAGACAAACGAUGAAGUCAGCUUGCAGCCUGAGGCCAAGAAAACUAAAAGCGCACUUUUACAGGAGCAAUGGGAACAGUCCAGGCAGAUGGAAGCAAGACAUGCGGAGCAUCUGGGCAGAACGGAACCAUACGGACCUGUGCCUGGUUGCCCUGAAGGUGAAGAGUGAGGCCAGGAGGAAAUGGCAAUGAAUUGAGGGCAGCUGAUGCCUCUUCAAAGAUUUGCUACUUUUUGAGACUUUCAAGCAUGAAAAUGGUUUAUCCUCCCCUCUCAGAAUUGAUGGGGAGGCCAAAUAGGACAGAGUGACAUAAGCAGCAAACAGAGCACCUUAAGACAACACACCCAUUAAAGUAACAUAACAAUCAAGGAAACAAGACUGCAAGCAGCUUGGGAAAUGGAGAGCAAAAGAAUUAGCUUCAUCAAGCCAUCGUUCUAGAGCAGGCUUGUUGUUUGGUGUGGCUGCGUUUUGUGCAGGGAUUGUACGUAGCUGCACGUGUCAUCCACAUGCCCACACUCUAACCUCCUCUCUCCACCUAACAUGAUGUCAUGAGCAUUUUUCUGUGUUGCUACACAGUCUGUAUAAUUACUCUAAAUGACUGUACAAUAUUCCACUCAUUAUACCACUGCUGAAUAUUUAGGUUGCUUAUAUUUUUUUCCUUUGCUCAAUUUUCAUGAAUUAACAAAUGUAAGGUGUUUCCACCCAGAAGCUUGCAAAACGUAGACACAGAGUAGAUGCUUUUUGUCUUUUCCAUCUCUCUCCUUCAUGUGUAUCUUUGUCCCUGGGCUUUUCCUUAGGAUAAGUGUUCCUUAGGGUUCAGGGGUAUGACUCUCCACACAUACUGCUACCAUAUUGUUCCAUUAAUUACAACGACAAUUUAAGAAAGCAGAGGUCUGCAAGUUUAACUAAUCUGCCCAGGGUCCCUGUCUGUUCUGUUUUCUUCUUUUCCCCCCAAGGUCUGCUCCAGUGUCUGGUGCAUAGAAUGACUUCAAUAAACAUUUGCCGAAUGAAGUUUUUAAGUGGGAGCGUCAUGAUUCCAACCCAGAUCUGUUUCACUACAAAGGCUAUGCUUUUUACCUUAAACCUUGCUGAUAGCUCUUGAUGUUCAUUUGAGUGAGGGGUAGAGAUGGGAGUGUUGCCAAACCUUUGAACUCAGGCUUAGUGUAACACCUAUUCAGGCUCAGGGUGAACAUGCCAGAGCUGUGAUGUGCUGUGGGUGGGAGUUUUGGACCCUAAUAAUAGUUACCCAGAGCUGUACCUUGCUUGACUUUUUCC